rnacentral:lncRNA from 7 species
GUGCCCUGGCCUAGCCCAUGCUUGCACCCAAGAGGCAGCGAGGAGAGAAGCACCAACCACAGCCUCAUCACUCCCACACGCCCAUGAGUUGCCUUCUUUCUGCUUAAUGCAGUGACUACAGAACAGGCACAAAAGGCACUUGGCCUUCCCAAGUUCACAGCAGAUCCUUUAGGAAGGAUGGCUAACGCUGAGCAGUACUGAGCAGCAGCAAGUGUACAACUGGGACUGAAAUAACUCUGCUCAUGCCAGAAGAGAGCAAAGCUGUAACAUACACAGUUUGAGAACUUUUGACGUGGGAAAAGCUAUGCUUUUAUAAUUCUAAACGAAACAUACAUAAAACGGCAUUUUCAACACUAGUGGUGGUUAGUCCAGGCCAUCUGCCAAUGGGAGCAUGAUGAAGAAAACCACAAAUAAGCUGGAGGAUGUGAAACAACAACACAACAUUUAUAUUCUAUUACUGUUGAAAAACAGGGACAGAAAGUAUAGAGAAACUGUCUUUGGCAUUUGCUUCCUUUAAACAAAAAGUUACUUACCUUAACUUUUGCUUAUAAAUGCACUUUUCAUCUGCUGGGGGAAACACUGCUCAGAGAGGGCCCCCAAAAAAUCCAAUUCAGUGGUUUUCGCUUUAUUCCUUCACCCAUGAGGUUGGGGUAACUCUCACCACCCCGGUCAGCCCAGUUGGAAGCCAGUGUGCACCCUCCUUCAUGUAACCCAGUUCAGAGAGAACGAACAAGCAUUAGAUUUAAGCUGCCCCAUUUCUGCAUUUGCUCUACGCAGAGCUCAGGGCAGAGAGCCAAUGCUGUCUUUGUGUGUACAAAAAUAACUGAGCCCUGACUUUUCCUCUUAGAUCCUGGCAAGGAAGGUUAGGAAUUCACUCACCUACAGCAAAGUUGUGCCCCUUUAACAGCCCCUCCAGGACUGUGUUUGCCUGUCCUGUGGGACAGGUGAUGCGUGAGAUUUCAUUUCAUUUUCUCAAGACGUGACAUUUUUGUUGGCUCGUGGAAGGGGAAGAUAUCUCAUGCCCCACUACAGAUCUUUGCAUGCAUGAGCACAACCGAGGGCAGACAAAGCCUCUGCGUUCCCAGGAGACCCUGUGAAGUGGGAUGUACUGUGAGGGGGGACAAGACUCCCCGAGAAGUGUCUAUCAUGAAGGAAGAGCGAUCAUUUUGGGAAGAGCAGGUGUUCUGGGCCUCUUCUACAGUGCCUGAAUCAUCUGGGACACAGGCAGAUCCCUGCACUAUGGAACAGGGAAGAAAAAUGGCACUGAGCUCUCAUGUAGUUGCUGCAGUUUGGAAUCUGAUGACCUUCACUGAUCAUGUUCAUCAAAACACACUUUGAAUUAAAUUACAGUAAAUCCAG